UCUUUCCUCCAAGCUAUACAUGUUAAGUUCCUUUAACCUUUCCUUGUAAGUUUUAUCCUGCAAUCCAUGAACCAGUCUAGUAGCCCUUCUCUGAACUCUCUCUAAAGUAUCAAUAUCCUUCUGAAGAUACGGUCUCCAGUACUGCGUACAAUACUCCAAGUGAGGUCUCACCAGUAUUCUGUACAAUGGCAUAAGCACUUC